UCUUCCCUCUAGCUCCAGGCUUAACACAUGCAAGUCGAGGGGAAACGGCAUCGAAAGCUUGCUUUUGAUGGGCGUCGACCGGCGCACGGGUGAGUAACGCGUAUCCAACCUGCCCAUCACUUGGGAAUAACCUUGCGAAAGUAAGACUAAUGCCCAAUGACAUCCCACGAAGGCAUCCGAAUGGGAUUAAAGAUUUAUCGGUGAUGGAUGGGGAUGCGUCUGAUUAGCUUGUUGGCGGGGUGACGGCCCACCAAGGCAACGAUCAGUAGGGGUUCUGAGAGGAAGGUCCCCCACAUUGGAACUGAGACACGGUCCAAACUCCUACGGGAGGCAGCAGUGAGGAAUAUUGGUCAAUGGGCGAGAGCCUGAACCGGCCAAGUAGCGUGCAGGAUGACGGCCCUAUGGGUUGUAAACUGCUUUUAUAAGGGAAUAAAGUGGGUCACGUGUGACUUUUUGCAUGUACCUUAUGAAUAAGGACCGGCUAAGUCCGUG
rnacentral:rRNA from 1 species